AUUUUUUUUAUGAAUAUGAUAUUGUGCGACGACAAUUCUUUUUUUAUUAGAUAUGUAGAUAUCAACGGCUACUCGUUUUAUUCAUUUCUCAAAUUCUCUGUUAUAUUUAAAAGAAUAUCUAUUGUAAAAUAUUAUUUCACUUUAUAUUCGUUUAUACAAAUUUCAUCAGAUACACUUUACAUUCAACAUGCUUUUUUCUGUGGAUCUUGAUAUUUCGACCGUUUCACAACUGUUUUGUAUUCCGCACAAAAGAAUGAUUCACGCGAAAAAGUAUCUUUGCGACAGAAGUAAGGCUUCUCUUUUCUUUUUUUUCUCCCCCCCCCCCCCUCUCUCUUCUUCUCUUGAAUCGAGUACAGAGGGAUUCCAUUACCGAGCGCACCGAGGUAUCUCAUGACACCGACGUGAGCGUCUCGUACUUCGAUUAAUAAAUCUCGAGAGACUAAUCGAUCGCCCCGUGUCGCAAUUUCCUGCAUGACUCCGGCCAACGUCAGCGCCAAUUUGCCAAAAUCGGGGGCGACGCAACGUGUCGCACAAUCGGCAGACGAAUCGCUCGUUCACUAAUGGAUUUAUGAUUUCAGUCAUUCGCGUGAAAAUGUCCGUCCGCAUCGCCAUGCGCGCACAUACAUUGACAAAGCUAUCUCUUGCACAUUUAUACUUGUAUAAUGCGCUAAAUAUGUCGGAAAAUUUAUUUCCGGAAUGAAAUGUAAAUACAUAUCGUCGCUAAUGUAUAUUCUACGCUCGGCAACGAUCGGUAUCGCUACGUUUAAAUAAUUCAUCAAGUCAAAACGAAACUAAAAGCUUUGCCAUUUAAAUUGCAUAAUCCUUUUUGAAUCCAUUAUGCCAAUUGCAGUUAUAUCUUAUAUAUGCUAAUUUACGUCGAUUCCGGAUGUAUUAUCAAAAACGGCUUUUGCCGCCAGCGGAUCGCGUUUAUUUCGUAUUUCGUUUCGUUUUACUCCCUUACUCCGCGAAAGCUAAUCGUACCAAACAUCCCCGAUAAAUUGAAAGAUAACUCGACGGGAUACAGCUGCGGUUGCAAAAUUGCAAAGUUCCGCGCGCUCCAGAAAGAAGAUUCUUCGAAGUACGGUUUUCCGCUCGCGGAUCAACAAGAGAUGCCGGAAAUGAUAGGUAACAUGGUUUUGUUGGCACUAGCCCGUAACUUCCUGUCGAGGCCAGGCUUGAGAAAACGAAGCCAAUAUCUUGCGCCGACAGCUCGGACGGACUCGAGGCCGGACCAAUUGCCCCGACGUCGGAAGUCGAAGACUUUCUCGGGCGAUCUCGCGCUUCUCAAAACUCCCGACGUGUCUUCCUUCCGCGACUGCACGAAAAAGCCCCCGGUGAUCAAUAUUUAAUCCGUGAGAUAAAAUUCUCUCCGAGAAAUCAAGUUCGGUUGUUGACGUUUUUGACCGAACGUAAAGGAAACGUCUGACUUUAUGACAUCAAACAGGAUAAACAGGAGGCUCAUGGUUAUUGAUGCGCGAAUUUUAUCCCAGCCCUCUGUUCUUUUGUUUAUUUGUUAUUUGUUUAUUUGAGAUUCUGUAGAGUUUAUAUUAUUUUACUUUUUUAUUAAAUUAAAUGGAAUCGAGAUAAUUUCCUCAAACUUUUCAAUGUUAAAACUCUAAAAUCGUGAUAGCUCCGAUCUUCACGGGCUGAGGAAUUUUGCAAAAUUCUGGUGGCUUCGUGCGCGCGUUUAAAAUAUCGAAGGCAACACGGCGACACGUUUGUUUAUGUGUUGCAUCCUUGGCGGACCUGCACACGAUCUCUCACGUGUGGACCGAGGGUGGACAGCGGGAAAAGUUAUGCAAACUAGCGAUACUGAAGCGUGGCACCGCAUAUACGCGCGCAUCCCGCGCGCGUGCACAUAUAAUUCGCGUCGCUCGGUCGAUUCGCGCGGAAUUAUGCGAUUUGCACACACGGGCCUGCAUAUGGAAAUACACGUUUCCCGUGCGCGGUCACGAAAUUGCAGACUCGUGUAUUCCAUUCUUCAUCAUCCUUCGAUGAUUCAGCUGUCACGGCGGAGCCAGACGUCGUCGUUCCGGCCCGACUGUUGUCCCACCUACAUCGAAUUACGAUAAAACGUAAAAAAAAAAAAGAGGGAAAAUGCUAUCUCGCGUGCAAAACAAUACGACACCUGUUCGCUCGCCUGUCGCCUUUCGGCGAGGUGAAUAGUCGCCGGCUGUCGACACGCGACACACGCACUUUUGCCGCAAUCGAUAAAUACUACGGCGACUUUUUGCGCCACGAUUGGCCCAUGUUGGAACGCUUUAAUCUUUGACCCUAGGCUCCCGUUUCUCGCAAUUGGCCACUUCUCUCAUUGCUCUCAUACACUUAUCUCGCUUGAAUAAAUAUACGUAGCGUAAAUAAGACUCGAAUGUUUUUCCUGCGAACCGGUCGUGUGACGUAAAUCGAUGGGAUAAAUAGAUCGCGCGAUAAAUAGAUUGCUCAAAGUAGGUAAGAAAA